UACGGAGGGUGCUAACGUUGUUCGGAAUUACUGGGCAUAAAGCGCACGUAGGCGGUCUGCUAAGUCGGUUGUGAAAGCCCCCGGCUCAACCGGGGAAUUGCGUUCGAUACUGGCAGGCUCGAGGACGGUUGGGGUGAGUGGAACUCCAGGUGGAGCGGUGAAAUGCGUAGAUAUCUGGAGGAACACCGGUGGCGAAAGCGGCUCACUGGACCGUAACUGACGCUGAUGUGCGAAAGCUAGGGGAGCAAACGGG
rnacentral:rRNA from 1 species